rnacentral:rRNA from 1 species
CCCUUAGAGUUUGAUCCUGGCUCAGAACGAACGCUGGCGGCGUGGAUAAGACAUGCAAGUCGAGCGCUAAUUUAAGGGUAGCAAUAUUCUUAAGUUGGAGCGGCGCAAGGGUGCGUAACACGUGGGUAAUUUGCCGUGAAGUUGGGGAUAACUUGCUGAAAGGCGAGCUAAUACCGAAUGUGACGUUUGGAAGGCAUCUUCUGAAUUUCAAAGUUGGGGACCGUAAGGCCUGACGCUUCAUGAUAAGCCCGCGGCCUAUCAGCUAGUUGGUGAGGUAAUGGCUCACCAAGGCUAAGACGGGUAGCUGGUCUGAGAGGACGACCAGCCACACUGGAACUGAGACACGGUCCAGACACCUACGGGUGGCAGCAGUCGAGAAUUUUUCUCAAUGGGCGAAAGCCUGAAGGAGCGACGCCGCGUGGGGGAUGAAUGGCUUCGGCCCGUAAACCCCUGUCAUUUGCGAACAAACCUUACGAUUUAAUAGAUCGUGAGCUGAUUGUAGCGAAAGAGGAAGGGACGGCUAACUCUGUGCCAGCAGCCGCGGUAAUACAGAGGUCCCAAGCGUUGUUCGGAUUCACUGGGCGUAAAGGGUGCGUAGGUGGUCGGGUAAGUCUGAUGUGAAAUCUCCGAGCUUAACUCGGAAAUGGCAUUGGAUACUAUUCGGCUAGAGGGUUUGAGGGGGGACUGGAAUACUUGGUGUAGCAGUGAAAUGCGUAGAUAUCAAGUGGAACACCAGUGGCGAAA